GUACUUGCUUUGGCACACAUAUACUAAAAUUGGAGUGAUACAGAGAAGAUUAGCAUGAGGCCCCUGCACGAGGAUGACAUACAAAUUCGUGAAGCAUUCCAUAUUUUU
rnacentral:snRNA from 1 species